UGGGGAAUAUUGGACAAUGGGCGCAAGCCUGAUCCAGCCAUGCCGCGUGAGUGAUGAAGGCCUUAGGGUUGUAAAGCUCUUUCAGUAGGGAAGAUAAUGACGGUACCUACAGAAGAAGCCCCGGCUAACUUCGUGCCAGCAGCCGCGGUAAUACGAAGGGGGCUAGCGUUGUUCGGAUUUACUGGGCGUAAAGCGCACGUAGGCGGGUCGUUAAGUCAGAGGUGAAAUCCCGGAGCUCAACUCCGGAACUGCCUUUGAUACUGGCGAUCUCGAGUCCGGAAGAGGUGAGUGGAACUCCUAGUGUAGAGGUGGAAUUCGUAGAUAUUAGGAAGAACACCAGUGGCGAAGGCGGCUCACUGGUCCGGUACUGACGCUGAGGUGCGAAAGCGUGGGGAGCAAACAG
rnacentral:rRNA from 1 species